CACCCAGGGCUGCUUUUAUAAUUAGAAGCAGCAGGGCCACCGCUGAGGUCUGUGGGGAAGGUGGAUUUUGUUGCUAAAGCCGAACAAUAAACUAACCGUGGAAAAAAAAAAAAAAGAUCAAAAAAUGAAUGAAAAAAACCUUCAUGACAAAGGAACAGUUCAACGAGAAGCUGAAGAUCUGUUGCCCCGUAUAUUAUGUAUAUAAAACAUAAUUCGUAAACUGAGACGCCGCGAAACGUUUGUUGCUCUACGGGGUGAACAAUUUGUAUCUAUUUGUUCCCCUAACAAACUUCAGCCCUGACGACAGCUGUUUGCAAGGAAUCGUGGACCAUUUGGGUCUAAUUUAAGAGCCUGGACUCAGCUUUUUAUAACUUGCGCAGAUUUAACGCUCUCAUUUUGACACUUGACAUGCAUCUCUACCGCAAAACAAAAAGGCGGCACGGAUAAAUGUAACCUCAUCAGGGCUCACUGACGGCUGCGACGGAGGGAAUCAUUAUAGAUUCUGCACGACUCGGGACGGCCGACACAUCGGAGGAAAGCGGGGCGCCGGGUCACGACACCUUCAUCGUCACCACCGCUGCAACCGCUUCCCUUUCAUUUGGGCGCUAAUCGGUGCAUUAACGUAGGCCGUGAACGUUGGGGGUUGACGCAUCACGGACGAACGAAGCCCCGCCAUCCAUUAUCCCACUUCUUUAUCAAACAGAAAAACACACAAAUGCCCGAAGUACAAUUAUUUUCACUAAUCAAGGCUGCAGUAAGACGGCCAACCGCAAACACCAUCAAUACACAUCUCUCCGCACAAAGCUGGGCAUCCAAGCUGAAUGACACACAGAUAAAUCAGAGCUCCUCAGUACGUUCAAACAAUAUUAAGGCAGCCAUUAGUCUAUUAAUGGGCAAUCGGCACAACUCUCGGGCACAAGAUUAAUUGCGCCCGGUGUAAGUCAUGCUCCUCCGUAUGAUUUCUUUCUUGGCAACAGAUGUGUUUUCCUUCAAAAAAUAAACGAAUCGCUGUGUCUUUCAUUCAAGGCCAUAUCAGCAGAAAGUGGCUGAAGGUAAAGUGUUUUUUCUCAUCUCAUACAUCCUCUCAAAGGACAUUUUGUCCAUUGUACAGAAGCUUUUACUCUGCACAGACAGAAUAUUUAUGUUAAUGCUUAAUUGAUUAUAUUUGUACACGCUUAUCACUUGGAAAAAGGUCGUACCGUGUUUUUUUAUACCCAAAAACUUCCUGUUUAGUUAAUAGAGUAAAAAUGGAACUUUGCAUUUAGGGCCAUUGGAGCGUGAAAUGUGUUGUGUGGCUAUUAAAUUUGCUUAGCAGGAGCUUUUUGAGCAAAGUGCUCUGCACAGCUUGCAGGUGUAUAGAUUUAUUUUAUUUUUGUGCUAAAGGAACUGACUGCUGUACACUACGCGAAGGGAUGCAGCGUGGGACGUGAACCGGCAACCUCCCGGUUCCACAGCCACGCACUUGCAUGCUGGGUCACCCGUUCUCCACCGACAAUGAAUGGAAAUACAAGACACACUUCACUGUGGACAUUUAAAGAUUCCCAGUUCAAAUGCCCAGUUUCUCUAUAAAACCCCCUAGACUUCAGUAUUAAAACAGAUUUUUUAAAAAAAACAGGUUAAUAAAAGGUGCUGCUGAUAAUAGCUGUGUCAAAAUUGUACAACCUGUUGAAGAACAUUAAAACACUCAUGCGACACAA